rnacentral:rRNA from 1 species
AUGGCGGAGCAGCAGCAAGACGAAGUGGGGCCGGCGUCGGUCUUAGCGUGGAGCAAGGGAAGCAGAGCUUCUGGAGGCUGGAGAGGCCAUGGACGUCGGGCGCGCGAUGCCACCGGGAGGAGGCGAGACCUCUGGCGCGUGGAGAGGGUCGUGGUCGGGCUCGACCACGUCAAGGAGGCCGUGGCGGAGCGAGCGGGAGGCGCUGGACGCGGGCACACACGCGCCCAGCGGGGCACGCGGGAGGCAGGAGGCGAGGCAAGGCGACACGACGGUGAAGGGGCAUGGCUCCGGCGGCGCCGGGAACAGCGAAGACGGCGAAUCCAGUCGGCCGGCGCCCGAAGCAAACGGAGCUCGGGGCGGAGGAGCUUGGGCGCGGGACGGCGGCCUGGUGGCGUGGGCGCUCCUGCGGGCAUUCAUGGCGGCGGCGGAGAGGCGCGACGGGCGGCGGCCGUUGCCAGAGGCGGGGAGGCCGGCUCGAGGAGGAGGGACGACGCUCGGCAGCGGGGCCAGCAGCAGGCAACCGCGGGAGGCCGAGGCCGGUGGAGGUGCGGCGCAGGGCGGCGACGCAAGGCAGCUUCAGGCGAUGCAGCGGGGCGACGGGGAUGGACGGCGCCGGUGCAGAAGAGGAAGAAGGGUGGCGUCACUGGCAGGGGAGGCGCGCCAUGGGGAUCGAGCGCGAGCGCUCCUCCUGGCGCUAGCGAUGUGCGUGCGUGUGUGAGUGGCGGCGGAGGGGAAACGAGAGGAAGAGGAGGAGAUCGGGUGAGGGCAUCGGGCUAG